AUUGAACGCUGGCGGCAGGCCUAACACAUGCAAGUCGAGCGGAUGAAGGGAGCUUGCUCCUGGAUUCAGCGGCGGGCGGGUGAGUAAUGCCUAGGAAUCUGCCUGGUAGUGGGGGAUAACGUCCGGAAACGGGCGCUAAUACCGCAUACGUCCUGAGGGAGAAAGUGGGGGACCUUCGGACCUCACGCUAUCAGAUGAGCCUAGGUCGGAUUAGCUAGUUGGUGGGGUAAAGGCCUACCAAGGCGACGAUCCGUAACUGGUCUGAGAGGAUGAUCAGUCACACUGGAACUGAGACACGGUCCAGACUCCUACGGGAGGCAGCAGUGGGGAAUAUUGGACAAUGGGCGAAAGCCUGAUCCAGCCAUGCCGCGUGUGUGAAGAAGGUCUUCGGAUUGUAAAGCACUUUAAGUUGGGAGGAAGGGCAGUAAGUUAAUACCUUGCUGUUUUGACGUUACCAACAGAAUAAGCACCGGCUAACUUCGUG
rnacentral:rRNA from 1 species